rnacentral:rRNA from 1 species
UACAGAGACUGCGAGCGUUAUUCGGAUUCACUGGGCGUAAAGGGUGCGCAGGCGGCCGAGUGUGUGAGGCGUGAAAGCCCGGGGCUUAACCCCGGAAUUGCACCUCAAACUACACGGCUAGAGCAUUGGAGAGGGUAGCAGAAUUCAUGGUGUAGCAGUGAAAUGCGUAGAUAUUGGGAGGAACACCAGUGGCGAAGGCGGCUCACUGGACCGGAACUGACGCUGAGGCGCGAAAGCGUGGGGAGCAAACAGG